CCUACGUGUGGCAGCAGUGAGGAAUAUUGGUCAAUGGGCGCGAGCCUGAACCAGCCAAGUAGCGUGAAGGAUGACCGCCCUACGGGUUGUAAACUUCUUUUAUAAAGGAAUAAAGUGAGGCACGUGUGCCUUUUUGUAUGUACUUUAUGAAUAAGGAUCGGCUAACUCCGUGCCAGCAGCCGCGGUAAUACGGAGGAUCCGAGCGUUAUCCGGAUUUAUUGGGUUUAAAGGGAGCGUAGAUGGGUUGUUAAGUCAGUUGUGAAAGUUUGCGGCUCAACCGUAAAAUUGCAAUUGAUACUGGCAGCCGUGAGUACAGUUGAGGUAGGCGGAAUUCGUGGUGUAGCGGUGAAAUGCUUAGAUAUCACGAAGAACUCCGAUUGCGAAGGCAGCUUACCAAGCUACUUCUGACGUUGAGGCACGAAAGCGUGGGGAGCAAACAGGAUUAGAUACCCCAGUAGUC
rnacentral:rRNA from 1 species